GGCCCCGGCCCCGGCCCCGGCCCCGGCCCCGGCCCCGGGUGGCUUGGCCGCUCCGCGGGGAGCACCCGGCGCGGCCUCCCGAAGGAGAGGUGGGAACCUCAGGCUUUGAGCAGGGGGAGCAGGGGGACCGUGCCUCUGCCGGCAGCAGGGCGCCGGACGGCGAGGGGGGUUUGGGGAAGGCUCUUCGUCGCCUGUCCCUUUUCCUUCCCGGAAGCUGGAGCCUCCAGCUCCCCCAUUUUCCCCUUCUGCCGUGCGCACGCCAGCCUUGCUGGGUAUUUUUAGCUGGCGCCGCUGUGAUUAGCAUUCAGGGGAGCAAGCAAGGGAGAGAAAGCCGUUUUCCAAGCCGUUUUCUCUUCCCUUUCGAACAGGGCCAAUGCACCUGUUGGUGGCGGGAGGUGUGUGUGGGGUGUGAUCUGGUGUUUAGCCUUCUCCAGGGAUGCGAUCUUGCUCCCUCUGUUCCUUUAGGUAGGCCCUGUCGGCACCUCCCAGAGCAGGGCCAGCACCCUGCGGCACGGGACUCCGCUGCAGGAGCCGCUCCUCCCUGAGAGAGGCUUCUGGGCCUUGCGUGGGGCAGUGGCCUCGCAAGGGCCCUUGGAGCAGGUGGCUGGGCAUGCCACCCGGAGUCAUCUUCAGCUCUUGCCCUUCCCAGGCUGUACCUGGCUCCUGAGGAUUGGGGCACGCAGGUCUGCUGAUCUGUGGCCAUGUGAAGAUUUUGCUGUAGGAUCUGGGACUUUGGCUCUGCUUGUGCCAGGUCUGCCUGCUGAAAAAAGAGUAUCCAUGUUCAACAAAAGAUGACAGAAUUGCAAGCCACUUGGCCACAUUAGUCUGUCGCCUAAAUCAGUCACUGCAAGCAAGUUGGUCUGUCAGCCUCAGUGAAUAGCAAAGUCAGAACCUGAUGGGACUGUACUACAGCUGCUGACUAUAAAGUAUGGAGAGCGUGAGGGGAGAAUGAAGAUGCGUUAGUCCUACAGAAAGCGUGCAGUUGCAGUGAAUAAUGAGUGAUGUCUCUGCAAGUAGCCCUGCAGUCCUUUAUGAGAGCCUCUCUUUGUACAUCAUGUGCUCUGACUCCUGACCAUCCUGGUGGCCUCCAGCGGACUUGCUCCAGUCUGUCAAUGUCUGUUUUGUACUGGGGAGACCAGAACUAGACACAGGACUCCAGAUGCAGUUUUGCAAGUGCCAAAUAGAGGGGAAGGAUCACUCUACUGGACGUGCCAGCUACGCAUGUACCAAUACAACCCUGGAUGCAGUUGGCCCUCUUUGCUGCAAGGACACACUGCUGAUUCAUGUUUGACUUGCUGUCCACGAGGACCUUGAGAUCUUUUUCUGCAGAACUGCUUCUCUGACAGUCAGCUCCAGCCUGUAUUGUUGCAUGGGGUUAUUCUAUCCCAGAAGCAAGACUGAAUUUUCUCCUGUUGCACUUCACCAGGUUCCUGUAGCCCGUUUCUCCAGGUCCCUCUGAAGAGUAGCCUUUCCCUCCAGUGAAUUGACCACUCCUCCCAAUUUGGUGUCAUCCACAAACCUGCUGAGAGAAGACACCAUCUUAUCAUCCUGGUCAUUGAUGAAGACAUUAAACCAUCUUUGUGCCAGUCUUGAUCCCUGAGGGGUGCCACUGGUUACCGGUCACCAGCUGUCCAACCAGUUUCAACCCACUGCAUUGUCCACUUAUUCAGUCCAUAUCUCACCAGUUUGGUGGUAAGGAGAUGUGGAGGUUUAAGCCCAGCCGGCAAUAAAGCACCACGAGGCUGCUCACUCACUCCUCCCCAGCCCCUCCAGUGGGAUGGGGAGGAGAAUCAGAAAGGAGAAAGAAGGAAAAAAAAAUAGAACCUUGUGGGUUGAGAUAAGGACAGUUUACUGGGACAACACAAGGAGAGAAGUUACAACAACAGUACUAAUAAAAGAAUAUACAAAAUGAGUGAUGCACAGUGCAACUGCUCACCACCCAGAACCUGAUGCUCUGCCACUCCCCCCACAGAGAGAACACCCCCCCGCCUGCUCCCCAGU